rnacentral:rRNA from 1 species
GACGUAGGGAGCGAGCGUUGUCCGGAAUUACUGGGCGUAAAGAGCUCGUAGGCGGGCCCGUAAGUCCGAGAGGAAAUCUCAAGGCUCAACUUUGGGGCUUUCUUGGAUACUGCGGUUCUUGAGGAUGAGAGAGGUAAGCAGAAUUCCCGGUGUAGCGGUGAAAUGCGUAGAUAUCGGGAGGAAUACCAGUGGCGAAGGCGGCUUACUGGCUCAUUCCUGACGCUGAGGAGCGAAAGCGUGGGGAGCAAACGGG